GCCGGCAUAGCUCAGUUGGUAGAGCAGCUGAUUUGUAAUCAGAAGGUCGUGGGUUCGACUCCUAUUGCCGGCACCA
rnacentral:tRNA from 2 species